rnacentral:rRNA from 1 species
UACGUAGGCAGCGAGCGUUGUUCGGAGUUACUGGGCGUAAAGGGUGUGUAGGCGGUUGUUUAAGUUUGGUGUGAAAUCUCCCGGCUCAACUGGGAGGGUGCGCCGAAUACUGAAUGACUUGGAGUGCGGGAGAGGAGAGUGGAAUUCCUGGUGUAGCGGUGAAAUGCGUAGAUAUCAGGAGGAACACCGGUGGUGUAGACGGCUCUCUGGACCGUAACUGGCGCUGAGACACGAAAGCUAGGGUAGCAAACGGG